rnacentral:rRNA from 1 species
UACGUAGGGUGCGAGCGUUGUCCGGAAUUAUUGGGCGUAAAGAGCUCGUAGGCGGUCUGUCGCGUCUGCUGUGAAAUCCCGAGGCUCAACCUCGGGCCUGCAGUGGGUACGGGCAGACUAGAGUGCGGUAGGGGAGAUUGGAAUUCCUGGUGUAGCGGUGGAAUGCGCAGAUAUCAGGAGGAACACCGAUGGCGAAGGCAACGAUCUGGCUAUGACUGACGCUCAGAGACGAAAGCAUGGGGAGCGAAUGGG